rnacentral:snRNA from 1 species
GGAUGUGAGGGCGAUCUGUCUGCAACAUCUGUCACCCCAUUGAUCUCCAGGGUUGAUUCAGCUGAUCUGGCUGGCUAGGCAGGUGUCCGCUUCCUCCCUCACCGCUCCAUGUGCGUCCCUCCGAAGCUGCACGUUAGGUCGAAGAGGAUGGCCUUCCCUGAAUAGAGACAGACCGGUCUUUGGUCUAGGGUAUAUGAGUAGCUGCACUCCCCUGCUAGAACCUCCAAACAAGUUCUCAAGAAUCCCGGUUCGAGCCCCCGGCUCCGCACCUGCAGGGGAGUUUCUUCACAAGUGGUAAAGCAGGUCUGCAGGUGUC